GUCAGGAUGAACGCUGGCGGCGUGCUUAACACAUGCAAGCCGAACGGUGCUUAAUGAAACCUAGUGAUUUAAGCACAGUGGCGGACGGGUGAGUAACGCGUGGGUAACCUGCCGCAUGCAGGGGGACAACAGAGGGAAACUUCUGCUAAUACCGCAUAAGCGCACGGGAUCGCAUGAUCCGGUGUGAAAAGAUUUGUCGGCAUGCGAUGGACCCGCGUCUGAUUAGGCAGUUGGUGAGGUAACGGCCCACCAAACCUACGAUCAGUAGCCGGCCUGAGAGGGUGAACGGCCACAUUGGGACUGAGACACGGCCCAAACUCCUACGGGAGGCAGCAGUGGGGAAUAUUGCACAAUGGGGGAAACCCUGAUGCAAGCGACGCCGCGUGAGUGAAGAAGCAUUUCGGUGCGUAAAGCUCUGUCAGCAGGAAAGAAAAUGACGGUACCUGACCAAGAAGCCCCGGCUAACUACGUGCCAGCAGCCGC
rnacentral:rRNA from 1 species